rnacentral:rRNA from 1 species
GGUCCUCGUCUAUCUGCGAGUCGCACGCACAGUCGUGGGUGCUUGCACCUUUCAAGUGAGUGGCGAACGGUGAGUAACACGUGGGCAACCUGCCUCGAGGCUGGGGAUAACAUUUGGAAACAGAUGCUGAUACCGAAUAAAACUUAGUGUCGCAUGACACAAAGUUAAAAGGCGCUUCGGCGUCACCUAGAGAUGGAUCCGCGGUGCAUUAGUUAGUUGGUGGGGUAAAGGCCUACCAAGACAAUGAUGCAUAGCCGAGUUGAGAGACUGAUCGGCCACAUUGGGACUGAGACACGGCCCAAACUCCUACGGGAGGCUGCAGUAGGGAAUCUUCCACAAUGGGCGAAAGCCUGAUGGAGCAACGCCGCGUGUGUGAUGAAGGCUUUCGGGUCGUAAAGCACUGUUGUAUGGGAAGAACAGCUAGAAUAGGAAAUGAUUUUAGUUUGACGGUACCAUACCAGAAAGGGACGGCUAAAUACGUGCCAGCAGCCGCGGUAAUACGUAUGUCCCGAGCGUUAUCCGGAUUUAUUGGGCGUAAAGCGAGCGCAGACGGUUUAUUAAGUCUGAUGUGAAAGCCCGGAGCUCAACUCCGGAAUGGCAUUGGAAACUGGUUAACUUGAGUGCAGUAGAGGUAAGUGGAACUCCAUGUGUAGCGGUGGAAUGCGUAGAUAUAUGGAAGAACACCAGUGGCGAAGGCGGCUUACUGGACUGCAACUGACGUUGAGGCUCGAAAGUGUGGGUAGCAAACAGGAUUAGAUACCCUGGUAGUCCACACCGUAAACGAUGAACACUAGGUGUUAGGAGGUUUCCGCCUCUUAGUGCCGAAGCUAACGCAUUAAGUGUUCCGCCUGGGGAGUACGACCGCAAGGUUGAAACUCAAAGGAAUUGACGGGGACCCGCACAAGCGGUGGAGCAUGUGGUUUAAUUCGAAGCAACGCGAAGAACCUUACCAGGUCUUGACAUCCUUUGAAGCUUUUAGAGAUAGAAGUGUUCUCUUCGGAGACAAAGUGACAGGUGGUGCAUGGUCGUCGUCAGCUCGUGUCGUGAGAUGUUGGGUUAAGUCCCGCAACGAGCGCAACCCUUAUUGUUAGUUGCCAGCAUUCAGAUGGGCACUCUAGCGAGACUGCCGGUGACAAACCGGAGGAAGGCGGGGACGACGUCAGAUCAUCAUGCCCCUUAUGACCUGGGCUACACACGUGCUACAAUGGCGUAUACAACGAGUUGCCAACCCGCGAGGGUGAGCUAAUCUCUUAAAGUACGUCUCAGUUCGGAUUGUAGUCUGCAACUCGACUACAUGAAGUCGGAAUCGCUAGUAAUCGCGGAUCAGCACGCCGCGGUGAAUACGUUCCCGGGUCUUGUACACACCGCCCGUCACACCAUGGGAGUUUGUAAUGCCCAAAGCCGGUGGCCUAACCUUUAGGAAGGAGCCGUCUAAGGCAGGACAGAUGACUGGGUGAAGUCGAGCAGCCGAGG